rnacentral:rRNA from 1 species
UACAGAGGGUGCAAGCGUUGUCCGGAAUCAUUGGGCGUAAAGCGCGUGUAGGCGGUCCGGUAAGUCCGCUGUGAAAGUCGGGGGCUCAACCCUCGGAUGCCGGUGGAUACUGUCGGGCUUGAGUACGGAAGAGGCGAGUGGAAUUCCUGGUGUAGCGGUGGAAUGCGCAGAUAUCAGGAGGAACACCAAUAGCGAAGGCAGCUCGCUGGGACGUUACUGACACUGAGGCGCGAAAGCGUGGGGAGCGAACAGG